AUGAAUGGAACAUAUUAGCAAUGAAGAAAGGUUAACAAAUUUAAACCUCUUUAGUUUAGAAAAACUUCGCCUGAGAGGGGAUAUGAUAACAUUAUACAAAUAUAUUCAGGGCUAAUACAAACUAUUGUGUGGAAAUCUAUUCACAAACCGAACUUUACAUAGGACACAUGCGUUUAGACUGGAACAAAAAAGAUUUUGUCUAGAACAAAUG
rnacentral:lncRNA from 1 species